GGCGGCGACUUCACGCGUUAGCUGCGGUACUAAGAAAGUCUCCUUCCCCAACACCUAGUUCGCAUCGUUUAGGGCGUGGACUACCAGGGUAUCUAAUCCUGUUUGCUCCCCACGCUUUCGUGCAUGAGCGUCAGUGUUGACCCAGGGGGCUGCCUUCGCCAUCGGUGUUCCUCCACAUCUCUACGCAUUUCACUGCUACACGUGGAAUUCCACCCCCCUCUGCCACACUCGAGUUAUACAGUCACAAACGCAGUUCCCAGGUUAAGCCCGGGGAUUUCACAUCUGUCUUAUAUAACCGCCUGCGCACGCUUUACGCCCAGUAAUUCCGAUUAACGCUCGCACCCUACGUAUUACCGCGGCUGCUGGCACGUAGUUAGCCGGUGCUUCUUCUUCAGGUACCGUCAUUAGUAGCCCGUAUUAGGGACCACCGUUUCGUUCCUGCUGAAAGAGCUUUACAACCCGAAGGCCUUCUUCACUCACGCGGAAUGGCUGGAUCAGGGUUGCCCCCAUUGUCCAAAAUUCCCCACUGCUGCCUCCCGUAGGAGUCUGGACCGUGUCUCAGUUCCAGUGUGGCUGGUCGUCCUCUCAGACCAGCUACGGAUCGUCGCCUUGGUGAGCCUUUACCUCACCAACUAGCUAAUCCGAUAUCGGCCGCUCCAAUCGCGCGAGGCCUUACGGUCCCCCGCUUUCUCCCUCAGGACGUAUGCGGUAUUAGCUAUCCUUUCGGAUAGUUAUCCCCCACGACUGGGUACGUUCCGAUACAUUACUCACCCGUUCGCCGCUCGCCGCCAGGGUUGCCCCCGCGCUGCCGCUCGACUUGCAUGUGUAAAGCAUUCCGCCAGCGUUCAAUCUGAGCCAUGAUCAAACUCCGAAACGACACUAUGAGUGGCGAC
rnacentral:rRNA from 1 species